UACGAAGGGGACUAGCGUUGUUCGGAUUUACUGGGCGUAAAGCGCGCGCAGGCGGUCUUCCAAGUCAGUGGUGAAAGCCCGGGGCUCAACUCCGGAAUUGCCUUUAAGACUGCAUCGCUUGAAUUGUGGAGAGGUAAGUGGAAUUCCGAGUGUAGAGGUGAAAUUCGUAGAUAUUCGGAAGAACACCAGUGGCGAAGGCGACUUACUGGACACAUAUUGACGCUGAGGUGCGAAAGCGUGGGGAGCAAACAGG
rnacentral:rRNA from 1 species